rnacentral:tRNA from 1 species
AGGUAAUUAAUUCUUAGGCCAUGAUCCUGUCACCUUAGGUCGAUCGGUACCUCAAUUUGAAAACCAAAAAUACUGUAUUUAGCAGUACAACUUUGGCAAUCAACUUCAGUUCCUAAACUUGUCUAGGUCACACCCAACAAGGGUACUCCUGGGCCAUUAGCUCAGGUGGUUAGAGCGCACCCCUGAUAAGGGUGAGGUCCCUGGUUCAAGUCCAGGAUGGCCCAUUCGGUGUUGGGGGUUUAGCUCAGUUGGUAGAGCGCCUGCUUUGCAAGCAGGAUGUCAGCGGUUCGAGUCCGCUAACCUCCACUGAUUAAACUCCUUUACUUAACAAGUAGGAGCUUAUCUUUGUUCGAUGUAUCUAGACUUUAGUUUCCGCUGGACGACCCUAGCUUCCUAUCAUUCUAAACCUAAUAAUUAAUUAGGAGAGGUUGAAAGGACGCUGGGCUCACUACAGUUUUAAUUAACUGGAGAGAACUUCAGCAGAACCUUGACAACUGCAUAGGUGAGUCUGGAAAGAAUAAAGCAUCUCAUGGAUGCAUUUUUCUUUUGAGAGAGAUUUGAAAUUCAGUUAAUUCAGAUUUUAAAUCUUAAUUAUAAAGAAUAAUGUGUGAUUCUUGAGUAAGAGCCGAGACUCUAUAGCGAUAUUUUGGUGCAAUUAAAGCAUGCAAAGUUAUUGGACUAAUUUAGAGUGAAAAACCUUUGAUUUAGUUUGAUAAGUGUAUAAACACUAUUUCUAUAGAGAUUUAUUGGUCAAGCUACAA